AUCGAGUAGAUGAAAUUUGGUCCCACCUUAUAUCUCAUACCUUGUUCUAAACCCACCUUUUAGUUCUAGUAGACAAUUUAAAUCGUUUAAAUUUAACUCUUUAAAAGAAAAACAAAAAAUGAAGAGUGUCAUUGUAAUUUCAUUGUUUCGAUAAUUGUGAAAGAAUCCUGCUCACUGGCUUUUUAUUCCAAGAAUAUUUUUUUUUGUUCCGGCUUUAUGAUUUUUCAUUUAUGUCAUCAAAUGAAAACUUAGAGAAACUAUUGUUUUAGUUUCUCUUCAAUAAUUUUGCUACAAAAUGGUGGACAUUGAUUGUGUCGUGAUUCUUAAUAAAAGAUUUCUGCUUAGUAAAUAUUUUUCUAUCAUAUAACACAGGAGUGUGUUAAAAUAUACAGAUUUUAGGUGACUGUUAUAGAUUAUUUUCUUUCUUUAACAACGAUCAUAAAAGAUAUCGUGAUCGGCACAGUUUAUAAAUCCGAUGAACGGUGAUAGAAGUAUUUAUUGAUGGUGAAAAUGUUAUGAUUUAAUUUCACUAAGAUUCUACGAAGAAUUAGUAUUGAUAGUUGUUAAAACAAUUUGAUACAUAAUGGCUUCGAGUGAUAACGUAGAUGUGAUCGAAGUAAUCGAGCCGGAUCUCAGUUGUCCGGUUCAAGUACCAAAUGUAUCCUUAACUGUUGAAGAUUCUGACGACGAUGACAAUAAAUCUGCCGAAGGAAAAAUGGCCAUUUUCGAUAACUCAGUUGUUUAUCAUGACAGUACCUCUUCAAAAUCUUUACAUGGAGCAGCAAAAAAUAAGUCUGAGAGAGAGAGGAAAAUUGGCCAUAGGAGGGUUGGUGUUGGAGGAGAGAUAACAUAUAAAAAGAUUCAAACGACUCAAAUUAUGGGAUCGAUACAACUAGGGAUUCAGCAUGCUGUUGGUGGAUUAGCAAGUAAACCCGAAAGAGAUUUAUUAAUGCAAGAUUUCAUGACAGUUGAAACAACGAAUUUUCCUAGUGAAGGUUCAAAUCAUACACCAGCACAUCAUUUUUCUGAAUUCAAAUUUAAAAACUAUGCUCCAAUAGCAUUUCGGUAUUUUAGAGAUUUGUUUGGAAUUCAACCUGAUGAUUUUUUGAUGUCGAUGUGUAGUUCACCAUUAAGAGAAUUAUCUAACCCUGGAGCUAGUGGAAGUAUUUUUUAUUUAACGGAAGACGAUGAGUUCAUUAUAAAAACUGUACAGCAUAAAGAGGGAGAGUUUUUACAAACUCUGUUGCCAGGUUAUUAUAUGAAUUUAAAUCAAAACCCCAGAACUUUAUUACCAAAGUUUUUUGGGUUAUAUUGUUAUCGCUGUAAUAGUAAAAACGUACGAUUAGUUGCCAUGAACAAUCUUUUACCAUCGGCAGUUAAAUUGCACCAAAAGUAUGAUUUAAAAGGAUCAACAUAUAAAAGAAAGGCAUCAAGAAGUGAGAGGUCGAAAAAAUCGCCUACUUAUAAAGAUUUGGAUUUUAUGGAACAUCAUCCAGAGGGUAUAUUUUUAGAGGCUGACACAUAUGGUGCAUUGGUUAAAACGAUUCAGAGGGAUUGCCGAGUUUUAGAAAGUUUUAAAAUUAUGGAUUAUUCUCUUCUUGUUGGGAUUCAUAAUCUUGACCAAGCAACACGAGAAAAAACGGAUCAGAAGUUAUCAUCAACGACCGAAGAUGAACUUGGUGGAGUCGUUCCUGAAUGUCGAAAUUUAGGUCCAGAAAGAGAUCGUCAGGAUAAAAUAGGUGCUACAGCACUAAACCGAUCACGAAGUAUCAAUCGCCAAAGGCUAGUUGCUCAUAGCACAGCAAUGGAGAGUAUUCAAGCGGAGAGUGAACCUAUCGAUGAAGAAGACGAUGUACCCAGUCCGGGUGGUAUUCCUGCAAGAAAUGCACGAGGUGAACGUCUUUUGCUCUUCCUUGGAAUUAUUGAUAUCCUUCAAAGUUAUCGAUUGAAAAAGAAACUUGAACAUACGUGGAAAUCCAUGAUUCAUGAUGGGGAUACUGUGUCAGUACAUCGCCCAGGAUUUUACGCACAACGCUUUCAAGAUUUUAUGGCGAAAACUGUAUUUAAGAAGAUUCCAUCACUGGACUUACCUGAGAUUAAAGGAAAUCAUCGCAAAUUCCGUAACCUCGUCUCCAGCUACAUAGCUCUCAAACACUCACCAUCAAAAAGAAAAAGUAUAAGUCGGCCAUUGCGAUCUCUGGAAGGGGAUCUUGAUGUCACUGUUAUCGCGCCAACUGGAAGUACAGCAAAGUAUACUACAUCAUCUUCAAAGCUUGUAGAAGAAACUUUAAGUAUCGGUGAUUCGAUAAACACUUUGAAUGAAGUACCUGUUGCAACUUCAACACCUAUAAAUUUACCAACAACACUAACAACAUCAGAUGGUGUAACUUCAUUGCCGUCUCUUGCUCUAACUUCAACAUUACGUGCUAGUUAUCCAGCAGUUUUAAAGGGCAGAACUGCAGCUAGUCCGCCUGUCCCUAAUUUGACACCGUCUGGAAAAACACCUCCACCUGUACCACCUAGAGGUACCCGUAAAAAAAAUGAAGAUCAUCGAGGUGGAAAUAUUUCUUCGUCUUCUUCUACAUCCGGUCGAGGUGGUACCUUUCCAUCAACCUGUUCCACUCCACCUCCUCCAUUUGACGAUGCUGUUAGUUCAAGCGAUCCAACUUUAGCAUUAGGGGGUAAUGUCCCAAGCACGGUGACUUCUGCAGCGAGUCAUUGCGGAUCAAGCAAUAUUAAACAAAGUAGAAUUCAUCAGAUUUCCAAAACAUAUCAUGAUUCCGUGAGUAUCUCUGAAGUACAUUUUGAGAGCAUUGGUAAUACAAUGGAUAAUGGCGGUAAAGUAACAAAGUCUUCAUUAAGUGUCGAGAGUGGCAGCAGUAGUCGAGGUGGUGGUUUGACGUGGACUCCACCAACUGGCAGUGCUGAAGGAUCAACUCCUACUUGGACUGAAGGAACACCAUCAUUUACCGAAAGCUCUAGUAGUGGUGACGUUGGUUGUCCAACCACUCCAGUCACAGCUUCUCAUAGAGGUGAAGCAGGAGAAAGAGUUGCAGUAACUGUCGAAGAGGUACUUGCCAGUUUAACUUCAGAAAUGGCUAGAAUACAAUUACAAAAUCAUGAGGGCUUAUGCCAUCAUCGCCAAUGCCAAGGGCAAUUAUUUUAUCAUCCCAACAAAAUGUAUACAUAAGUGUGAUUCAAAAAAUAAACUGCAACGUAUUGAUGAUGGCGAUAUUGACUCGGAGGAUUUGUAUGUCAGAAGCAGUACCUGCAAUUUUGAUGGCAUAAAAAUUAUUGAUACAGACGAAAACCUGAGACGGAGUAUCACAUCAUGCUUGCCAAACCAAACAAAUAAGAAUCUAAUUAAUAUUUUUAUACUUCACCAAUAUAAAAUCUUAUGUAAUAAUACCAUGUGUGAAAGCAAUAAAAAAAUUUGACAGAUA